rnacentral:siRNA from 1 species
AGGGCAAACCAAAUAAAAACUCACA